rnacentral:rRNA from 1 species
GACGAACGCUGGCGGCGUGCUUAACACAUGCAAGUCGAACGGAAAGGCUCCAGCUUGCUGGGGUACUCGAGUGGCGAACGGGUGAGUAACACGUGGGUAAUCUGCCCUGCACUCUGGGAUAAGCCUGGGAAACUGGGUCUAAUACUGGAUAUGACCUUUCUCCUUAUGGGGUUUGGUGGAAAGUUUUUCGGUGUAGGGUGAGCCCGCGGCCUAUCAGCUUGUUGGUGGGGUGAUGGCCUACCAAGGCGACGACGGGUAGCCGGCCUGAGAGGGUGAUCGGCCACAUUGGGACUGAGAUACGGCCCAGACUCCUACGGGAGGCAGCAGUGGGGAAUAUUGCACAAUGGGCGGAAGCCUGAUGCAGCGACGCCGCGUGAGGGAUGACGGCCUUCGGGUUGUAAACCUCUUUCAGCAGGGACGAAGCGUAAGUGACGGUACCUGCAGAAGAAGCACCGGCUAACUAUGUG